UCGCUGGCGAUGCGCUGCCGGUCAUGUCAAUCGUGAACCGCCCACCACUGCCAGAGCUUAUAGUGGAGUUUGCCAGCGUGGCCGCGGCGGAAGUCGCCGGGAGAAGCUCGAACCGGUAUCCGAUUGAAUCGGAGCUGCCGCUCUCCCUCCAUGCCUCGAGGCGGCCCCACGGGCGCCAGCUACCAUCGACUGGGCGGAGAAUCAGCCACGCGCCGGGAUUUGACCGGCUUACACGAUGCGAUCCUGGCGAUGGUACGAACGGUGUCACCAUCGACGCGGCGGCAACCGGCGAUCCGGAAAGAUCAUGGAUCGUUAUGGACCAUCCUUUUCGUUCUUUUGCCGAUUGGUCCCUUUCGGAUCGGAUCUUCGGUAACCAACUCUUCGAUGUGCUACUUUGUUCAGUAAUUGACGACCUUGAACGAUCCCAAUCACGUUCGUUUCUGAAACCGAAUUUGCAAGUAAAAACCGGUUGCUGUACACUUCCUUGCACCUGAAAAACCUGAGGACUGCACUCUGGUUCACCGUCGAACCGGAACACGAAUCUCGGGUCCGGCUCGGAACGAACCAUCAAGUGCAAUUGAGCCGAUGAGUAACCUUUUUUGCCUUCGCCGAUUCCGGUCCAACCGUUCUGGAACAUGAACGGUUUGGUUUCUG
rnacentral:misc_RNA from 1 species